GAGGGAAUUUGCAUCAAGGCCCCAACCACCCCUGCUGUGGGUUAGAGGGAGGAUAAGAGAGACCUGCAGCUUGUCUGCCUCAGCACAGCUCCAGGUCGUCUGCACCAUGGCCCGGACCCCACUCUCCCUCCUUGGCCUCCUCCUCCUCUGCACAGGGUCCCUCUCCCAGCCCGUGCUGACUCAGUCGCCGUCUACGUCUGCCUCCCCGGGAGCCUCGGCCAAGCUCACCUGCACUCUGAGCAGGGAGCACAGCACCUACACCAUUGCAUGGUACCAGCAGCAGCCAGGGAAGGCCCCUCGGUAUGUGAUGUGGCUUAAAAGUGAUGGAAGCCACAGCAAGGGGGACGGGAUCCCUGAUCGCUUCUCGGGCUCCAGCUCUGGGGCCGACCGCUACUUGACCAUCUCCAACCUCCAGCCUGAGGACGAGGCUGACUACUUCUGUGGAGCAGAUCAUAGUUAUAAUUACAGCACAGUGACCCACAUGAAGGGGGAAGUGGGACAAAAACUGUUUGCUGUUCCGCUCUUUUGA